rnacentral:misc_RNA from 1 species
GAUGAAGAACGCAGCGAAAUGCGAUAAGUAAUGUGAAUUGCAGAAUUCAGUGAAUCAUCGAAUCUUUGAACGCACAUUGCGCCCUCUGGUAUUCCGGGGGGCAUGCCUGUUCGAGCGUCAUUAUAACCACUCAAGCUCUCGCUUGGUAUUGGGGUUCGCGGUUCCGCGGCCCCUAAAAUCAGUGGCGGUGCCUGUCGGCUCUACGCGUAGUAAUACUCCUCGCGUCUGGGUCCGGUAGGUCUACUUGCCAGCAACCCCCAAUUUUUACAGGUUGACCUCGGAUCAGGUAGGGAUACCCGCUGAACUUAAGCAUAUCAAUAAGCGAAGGA